UGGAUUGGUUGGAGAUGGUCCAAACAGCUAUCAGAUCUGGCUCGGUGGAACUCCCAAUCAAACUGUAUUGGCAAGAACUUUCAAGGAUAAGGUUAAGGUUCAGGAUCUUGAAAAAGUUCUGGAGCCUUUAUUUUUCCAUUGGAAAAGAAAGCGACAAUCUAAAGAAUCGUUUGGGGAGUUCUCAAACCGCUUGGGAUUUGAGAAACUAGGGGACUUGGUUGAGAAAUGGGAUGGCAUCCCUGAGUCAUCAUCUCGUUAUAACUUAAAGCUAUUUGCUGAUAAAGAGACGUAUCAAGCCAUGGAUGCACUUGCAAGAAUACAAAACAAGAAUGCCCAUCAAUUGGCGAUUGAUGUAAUUCGCAAUUAUGUUGCUUCCCAGCAAAAUGGGAAAAGCAUGGACUGACCAAGUCAUCUUUUGUGUUGCAAAACAGUAAAGAUAAUGGCAAGGAGAUUUAACUGGUGACUACGUCUUCGUCUUGAAAUUGCUUGGCUGAAACAAGUGGAGAAUUUUGACACAAUGUUGUGCAAGCUUUUAUAGUACUUCACUCGUAGAGCUGACAGUACACUGCAUUUUUCCUUUCUAUUUUUCGUUGUUCAUUUCCCAGUUCCUUUUCAUGAGCAAACAAAAUCUGAUAAUGGCCUGUAUCUUAUUUUCUUUCAAAUUAGUUUUUGAAAGGGUGCCUUUUUG
rnacentral:misc_RNA from 1 species